CGACCGGGGCGACAGCAAUAUGAAGGUCAGGCUGAAGACCUUACCCGAUUAGCUGAGAGGUGGUGCAUGGCCGUCGUCAGUUCGUACUGUGAAGCAUCCUGUUAAGUCAGGCAACGAGCGAGACCCACGUCCACAGUUGCCAGCGUACUCUCCGGAGUGACGGGUACACUGUGGGACCGCCGCUGCUAAAGCGGAGGAAGGAAUGGGCAACGGUAGGUCAGUAUGCCCCGAAUAUCCCGGGCUACACGCGAGCUACAAUGGUUGGUACAAUGGGUAUCUACCCCGAAAGGGGACGGGAAUCUCCUAAAACCAAUCUUAGUUCGGAUUGAGGGCUGCAACUCGCCCUCAUGAAGCUGGAAUCCGUAGUAAUCGCGUUUCAACAGAACGCGGUGAAUACGUCCCUGCUCCUU
rnacentral:rRNA from 1 species